rnacentral:rRNA from 1 species
UACGUAGGGUGCAAGCGUUAAUCGGAAUUACUGGGCGUAAAGCGUGCGCAGGCGGUUAUGUAAGACAGGCGUGAAAUCCCAGGGCUUAACCUUGGAACUGCAUUUGUGACUGCAUAGCUAGAGUACGGGAGAGGGGGAUGGAAUUCCGCGUGUAGCAGUGAAAUGCGUAGAUAUGCGGAGGAACACCGAUGGCGAAGGCAAUCCCCUGGACCUGUACUGACGCUCAUGCACGAAAGCGUGGGGAGCAAACAGG